rnacentral:rRNA from 1 species
UACGUAGGGUGCAAGCGUUGUCCGGAAUUAUUGGGCGUAAAGAGCUCGUAGGCGGUCUGUCGCGUCGGAUGUGAAAACCCAGGGCUCAACCCUGGGCCUGCAUUCGAUACGGGCAGACUAGAGUUCGGUAGGGGAGACUGGAAUUCCUGGUGUAGCGGUGGAAUGCGCAGAUAUCAGGAGGAACACCAAUGGCGAAGGCAGAUCUCUGGGCCGUAACUGACGCUGAGGAGCGAAAGCAUGGGGAGCGAACAGG